rnacentral:rRNA from 1 species
GUGGGGAAUAUUGGACAAUGGGCGAAAGCCUGAUCCAGCCAUGCCGCGUGUGUGAAGAAGGUCUUCGGAUUGUAAAGCACUUUAAGUUGGGAGGAAGGGCAGUAAGUUAAUACCUUGCUGUUUUGACGUUACCGACAGAAUAAGCACCGGCUAACUUCGUGCCAGCAGCCGCGGUAAUACGAAGGGUGCAAGCGUUAAUCGGAAUUACUGGGCGUAAAGCGCGCGUAGGUGGUUUUGUAAGUUGGAGGUGAAAUCCCCGGGCUCAACCUGGGAACUGCCUCCAAAACUGCAUGACUAGAGGACGGUAGAGGGUAGUGGAAUUUCCUGUGUAGCGGUGAAAUGCGUAGAUAUAGGAAGGAACACCAGUGGCGAAGGCGACUACCUGGACUGAUACUGACACUGAGGUGCGAAAGCGUGGGGAGCAAACAGGAUUAGAUACCCUAGUAGUCC